AGAUUAAGUUAUUAAGGGCGCACGGUGAAUGCCUUGGCACUAGAAGCCGAUGAAGGACGUUACUAACGACGAUAUGCUUUGGGGAGCUGUAAGUAAGCUGUGAUCCAAAGAUUUCCGAAUGGGGGAACCCAAUACGAGUUAUGUCGUAUUAUCGAUGCGUAAAUACAUAGCGUAUCGAAGGUAGACGCGGAGAACUGAAACAUCUUAGUACCCGCAGGAAGAGAAAGAAAAUUCGAUUCCCUGAGUAGCGGCGAGCGAAACGGGAAUAGCCCAAACCAACGAGCUUGCUUGUUGGGGUUGUAGGACACUCUAUACGGAGUUACAAAGGAAUAGAUUAGACGAAUCAUCUGGAAAGAUGAAUCAAAGAAGGUAAUAAUCCUGUAGUCGAAAAUCUGUUCCCUCUUGAGUGGAUCCUGAGUACGACGGAACACGAGAAAUUCCGUCGGAAUCCGGGAGGACCAUCUCCCAAGGCUAAAUACUCUCUAGUGACCGAUAGUGAACCAGUACCGUGAGGGAAAGGUGAAAAGUACCCCGGAAGGGGAGUGAAAUAGAACUUGAAACCGUGUGCUUACAAGUAGUCAGAGCCCGUUAAUGGGUGAUGGCGUGCCUUUUGUAGAAUGAACCGGCGAGUUACGAUUUGAUGCAAGGUUAAGCAGUGAAUGUGGAGCCGUAGCGAAAGCGAGUCUGAAUAGGGCGUUGAGUAUUUGGUCGUAGACCCGAAACCAGGUGAUCU
rnacentral:rRNA from 1 species